AGAGUGAAACAUCCCACUCACUUUAAAAGACUGGCAGUAAGGAUGCUGAUACCUCUGCUGGGUCAGGUGCACUUGCACUGCACAGUCACAAUCUGCUCUCCUCCUAAAGUAUCAUCUGGCAACACUGGGACCUGUGGAGGCUGGUGUGACCCUACCAGGAAGAGGAUGGAUCAGCACUCUGGAGACCAGAAUAUGGUUCAUGGUUAUGUAUUGGCUGGGCCAGUAUGGAUUGUUCAUCCUGAACCAACUGAGG